GGAGAGGUGGCAGAGUGGUCGAUUGCGGCAGACUCGAAAUCUGUUGAACUCGCAAGAGUUCCGGGGGUUCGAAUCCCUCCCUCUCCGCCA
rnacentral:tRNA from 1 species